ACAAGUAAGUAAUGGCUGGAAUCACAAUGGGACGGAGAGAUGAGUACCUGCGUUUCCUCUCCUUCUCUCGCCGCUGCCUCCGCAGCUGUGUCCGCCGCAGUCUUCCGCCGCAAGAGCCACCAUGGCGCCGCCACACUGUUCACUGUUCCUUCUCCUCACUCCCGCCAUGCUUUUCCCCUACGAGCCGCUGCGAAUGAUUCGAACAGUACCGAUCAAUUGACGGCGGAAUCCGCUGUCGAAAGAUCGGAGGCCGAUAAGAUCGUUGACGGCAUGGAUUUCGGUGAGCUCUGCAACGAAUUUGAGUGCGUUAGUAGCCCCUUGGUUGAAUCCACAGCUAGGCAACUUGCUAAAGACAUUCUUCAACUUCGUCAAGGAGAUCGAUCUCUUGGAAAUUUCGCAGUCUUUGUCAAGUAUAAGGAUCCAAUUAGGAAAUUCACUGGUCGAGAGAAGUACAAAAGGCAACUCUGGGCAACCAGUGCGCUCGAGAAUCCAACUACGAGUGUGCAAGAAAUGGUGAUGGUAUCAACAAGCAUACUUAACAUCAAGUGGACAAUCAAAGGGAAACCCAAGUCCUUGGUUGCAGCCAUAGGAGGAGACCUGAUCAUCAAAGUUGAUUCACAGUUCACUCUCAACCAAAUCAGUGGGCAAGUCAUCGAGCACGAAGAGCGUUGGGACGUGUCGAGUUCCUCUGCCGUUUCCCAAGCUUUCUUUUGGGCUUCCCGCUAUCUCUUUGCCUCCACGGAAGCAGGGAAAGACUUGGCUGAUUCUGUCAGCAACCUCACCGGGCAAGUAUCUACUGAGAAACAGAACUUGGAGAUGUUCCCUGAUCCUUCUGGUGAUCCUAGCAAGUUCUUCGAAGGCGAGGACAACUUCCAAAGAGAUGCAUACCAAUUUGCACUAUUGCUAGCUAUCAUCUAUUUUGUUGUACAGUUUUUGAAGGCAACACUGUAAAUGCAACAAAACUAAGGUUGUCCGUUGCCUCCCAGUUCGAGAUCAACGAUAGAGAGAAGCCUACCAUGGCGACGAACAUCAUGAGACCUCAAUUCAUUCAGUGUCUUCUCUCGACCCUUAAACUUAUGCUGCACUUCAAACACCAAAUUGCAGGACCCAGAUUCAAAAAUGAAGCUCCUUACCUUUCCCUUAGAAGGAUCAACGGAAGGGAAAAGGGAAAGGUAUUGACAGCGACAAAUCAAAUGGCAAAAUAAACGAAAUGGAGAGAGGGAUCCGCGAUUCUAACGGCAAAUGAGAUGAUUAAUGGAAUUCAUCGGCAUUUCCUCCAUUGGACGUUACAUGUCGACAUUGCUCCAAAAAUGGGGUCAUUCAAUUAUGGGUAAAAGAAGGCUUAAAGUUUGAUAUAGAAUUCUUGUCUGAUGAAUGGAAUAAAUGGACGGGAAGAACGGCAACAGAGUUGUUCAGUAAAUGGAAAAGAAUGUCUUUCAAAGAAAAAUGCGGAAAGGAAUGAGAAGAAGGAAGUUUGUUAUUUUGAGACAAAUGUUUAGGGGUAGGAGUCAAUGUUGUUAAUCAACCAACGCUUCACCAUCAAAUAUUUCCAUUUUUGGUAUGAUGUAAA